rnacentral:rRNA from 1 species
UACGUAGGGUGCAAGCGUUGUCCGGAAUUAUUGGGCGUAAAGAGCUCGUAGGCGGUUUGUUGCGUCGGCUGUGAAAUCCCCAGGCUCAACCUGGGAACUGCGUCCGAUACUGGAUGGCUUGAAUCCGGGAGAGGGAUGCAGAAUUCCAGGUGUAGCGGUGAAAUGCGUAGAUAUCAGGAGGAACAUCGGUGGCGAAGGCGCUCUGCUGGACCAUAACUGACACUCAGGGACGAAAGCGUAGGGGAGCGAAUGGG